UGGCUUUUGGAUAUCUCAGGUUCUAUGAAUGGCUACCUUCUUUGAAAACAUAAGCCCCUCCUCUACCAAUUGUUACAAUAAUUGCAGAUCUUUCAGUUUUCUAAAACUUCUCUCAUGUUAUAUAUCUACUCACCCAAUGGAAUUCCACUCUUCAGUGUACCUGUUUCUCCUUUUAAAUAAAAAUGCAGAGGAAGAAAAUAGGGAAGACUGAAAGGCACAAGGAUUAGGGUUAAACCACACGAUUGAUUUCCAGCGAGCUCUCAGUUCGAUUUCACGGUGGUGGUUGGAGAUGUGCCAUAAAUAUGGUGUGAUGCAUAGAGAUCUAAAGCCUGAGAAUUUUUUGUUUGCGAAUAAGAAGGAAAUAACGGCUUUUAAAGCCAUCAAUUUUGGUUUGUCGAUGUUCUUUAAACCAGUGAAGAAAAUGAGCAUGGUGAUACAACUUUAAGAAUCUACUGAUCUGGAACUGAACUGGGAAAUUCUCAUUUCUAUCUACCGUCGAAGAGUCAGGUUUGAGCUUUAAGUUGCUUACAAAUAUUUCUGACUUCAUUAAACCAACGUCUAACAUCAUAGUAAUUAAGAGAGUUUAAAAUUGGGAUUUCCAUUUGUUCUGAAAAAUGAAAGAGGAACUCAUGUUUUUGAUAAGUUAC